rnacentral:rRNA from 1 species
GAUGAACGCUGGCGGCGUGCCUAAUACAUGCAAGUCGAGCGAACAGACGAGGAGCUUGCUCCUCUGACGUUAGCGGCGGACGGGUGAGUAACACGUGGAUAACCUACCUAUAAGACUGGGAUAACUUCGGGAAACCGGAGCUAAUACCGGAUAAUAUAUUGAACCGCAUGGUUCAAUAGUGAAAGACGGUUUUGCUGUCACUUAUAGAUGGAUCCGCGCCGCAUUAGCUAGUUGGUAAGGUAACGGCUUACCAAGGCAACGAUGCGUAGCCGACCUGAGAGGGUGAUCGGCCACACUGGAACUGAGACGCGGUCCAGACUCCUACGGGAGGCAGCAGUAGGGAAUCGUCGGCAAUGGGCGGAAGCCUGACGGAGCAGCGCCGCGUGAGUGAUGAAGGUCUUCGGGUCGUAAAACUCUGUUAUUAGGGAAGAACAAAUGUGUAAGUAACUAUGCACGUCGUGACGGUACCUAAUCAGAAAGCCACGGCUAACUACGUG